UACGGGGGGGAGCAAGCGUUUGUUCGGAUUUACUGGGCGUAAAGGGCGCGUAGGCGGUCAGCACAAGUCAGUUGUGAAAUCUCCGGGCUUAACUCGGAAAGGUCAACUGAUACUGUGCGACUAGAGUGCGGAAGGGGCAACUGGAAUUCUCGGUGUAGCGGUGAAAUGCGCAGAUAUCAGGAGGAACACCGAUGGCGAAGGCAGGUCUCUGGGCUGUAACUGACGCUGAGGAGCGAAAAGCAUGGGGAGCGAACAGG
rnacentral:rRNA from 1 species